CUCUUGUGUUUUAAUUUUGGUGCUCUCCUCCCGCACACAGUUCCAUUCCAUUCUCCAUCCACUGCCUAGUUUCUCUCUCGCUCGAAAUUGGUGCUCCCUGCACGCGUUUCUCCUCCACCGUCGCUGGCCAGGAGCACGAAGCCCAUUCACCACGUCACGUUUCUCCUCCACCGUGACAUCCACCACGUCGCCUCCUUGCGUCUUCGCGUUUUCCUCCUCUACCCUUUCUAGGGUUUGCACACUUCAAUUUUUUCCCAACCCAAACCGCGCAACCCCCUGAUUCUGUCAUACUUCGCCUCUGCAACGAAGGAAUUACAGUGUUGCCCCCUGAUUCUGUCAUACUUCGCCUCUGCAACGAAGGAACUCUAUUCACUGCCCGAUUAGUUUGCAAGUCCACUCUUUGAGUUGCCGAGCUUCGUUAGUUAGAGUCGAGGCACUUUCUAGCGACUUCCAGAUGCGAGAGGUACUCGCGGCCAACGGGGAAAUGGUGACUCUGCUGCUUAGCCAUCUGGGCUGGAUUUGUCCACUCUAGUCUUUCUUUUAGAGCCACGACCCAUGUACUGUCUGUUAUCUUUACUUUCCCAAUUUUAUUACUGUUGAAUAUGUGUAUCUGGUUCAUUUGGCAUCGAGGUGUGCCUUGGUUUGUGAGGAGUGGUGUUUAAACUCCGAGACUGCGCUAAGAUAACUUCUAUGUGACGUUUCCUUUUAAUUUGGGUUAUUAGUUAAAAUGGGACGUUACAAAGACCA